rnacentral:rRNA from 1 species
UGGGGAAUAUUGCACAAUGGGCGCAAGCCUGAUGCAGCCAUGCCGCGUGUAUGAAGAAGGCCUUCGGGUUGUAAAGUACUUUCAGCGGGGAGGAAGGGAGUAAAGUUAAUACCUUUGCUCAUUGACGUUACCCGCAGAAGAAGCACCGGCUAACUCCGUGCCAGCAGCCGCGGUAAUACGGAGGGUGCAAGCGUUAAUCGGAAUUACUGGGCGUAAAGCGCACGCAGGCGGUUUGUUAAGUCAGAUGUGAAAUCCCCGGGCUCAACCUGGGAACUGCAUCUGAUACUGGCAAGCUUGAGUCUCGUAGAGGGGGGUAGAAUUCCAGGUGUAGCGGUGAAAUGCGUAGAGAUCUGGAGGAAUACCGGUGGCGAAGGCGGCCCCCUGGACGAAGGCUGACGCUCAGGUGCGAAAGCGUGGGGAGCAAACAGG